UCUAGAACUCGAGAUAUGGGCUGAACACUAAAUAGUGUCUGGACUGCAGGACAAAUUCGGACUUCUUCGUUGUUGCUACAAUUUGGACUUGAAAACGGCCUUGUUAAAUCUUGGGCUCCCCAUGAAAGUUGUAGGCCUAUGUCGUACCUUUCCAUC
rnacentral:pre_miRNA from 1 species